GAGCACGCCGCGUGAGGGAUGAAGGCCUCUGGGCUGUAAACCUCUUUUCUCAAGGAAGAAGACAUGACGGUACUUGAGGAAUAAGCCACGGCUAAUUCCGUGCCAGCAGCCGCGGUAAUACGGGAGUGGCAAGCGUUAUCCGGAAUUAUUGGGCGUAAAGCGUCCGCAGGCGGCCUUGUGAGUCUGUCGUUAAAGCGUGGAGCUCAACUCCAUUUCAGCGAUGGAAACUACAAGGCUUGAGUGUGGUAGGGGCAGAGGGAAUUCCCGGUGUAGCGGUGAAAUGCGUAGAUAUCGGGAAGAACACCAGUGGCGAAGGCGCUCUGCUGGGCCAUAACUGACGCUCAUGGACGAAAGCCAGGGGAGCGAAAGGGAUUAGAUACCCCUGUAGUCCUGGCCGUAAACGAUGAACACUAGGUGUCGGGGGAAUCGACCCCCUCGGUGUCGUAGCCAACGCGUUAAGUGUUCCGCCUGGGGAGUACGCACGCAAGUGUGAAACUCAAAGGAAUUGACGGGGGCCCGCACAAGCGGUGGAGUAUGUGGUUUAAUUCGAUGCAACGCGAAGAACCUUACCAGGGUUUGACAUCCUGCGAAUCCCUUGGAAACGAGGGAGUGCCUUCGGGAGCGCAGAGACAGGUGGUGCAUGGCUGUCGUCAGCUCGUGUCGUGAGAUGUUGGGUUAAGUCCCGCAACGAGCGCAACCCACGUCUUUAGUUGCCAGCAUUCAGUUGGGCACUCUAGAGAGACCGCCGGUGAUAAACCGGAGGAAGGUGUGGAUGACGUCAAGUCAUCAUGCCCCUUACAUCCUGGGCUACACACGUACUACAAUGCUACGGACAAAGGGCAGCAAGCUCGCGAGAGUAAGCAAAUCCCAUAAACCGUGGCUCAGUUCAAAUCGUAGGCUGCAACUCGCCUACGUGAAGGAGGAAUCGCUAGUAAUCGCAGGUCAGCAUACUGCGGUGAAUACGUUCCCGGGCCUUGUACACACCGCCCGUCACACCAUGGAAGUUGGCCAUGCCCGAAGUCGUUACUCCAACCCUUGUGGAGGAGGACGCCGAAGGUGGGGCUGAUGACUGGGGUGAAGUCGUAACAAGGUAGCCGUACCGGAAGGUG
rnacentral:rRNA from 1 species